AGGUAAGCUACUAAGAGCGAAUGGUGGAUGCCUUGACUGGUAAAGGCGAUGAAGGACGUACUAGACUGCGAUAAGCUACGGGGAGCUGUCAAGAAGCUUUGAUCCGUAGAUUUCCGAAUGGGGCAACCCAAUGUAUAGAGAUAUACAUUACCUAUAUAGGAGCGAACGAGGGGAAUUGAAACAUCUUAGUACCCUCAGGAAAAGAAAUCAAUAGAGAUUGCGUCAGUAGCGGCGAGCGAAAGCGCAAGAGGGCAAACCCAGUGCUUGCACUGGGGGUUGUAGGACUGCAAUGUGCAAGAGGUAAGUUUAGCAGAACAUUCUGGAAAGUAUAGCCAUAGAGGGUGAUAGUCCCGUAUGCGAAAAACAAACCUUAGCUAGCAGUAUCCUGAGUAGGGCGGGACACGAGGAAUCCUGUCUGAAUCCGGGUCGACCACGAUCCAACCCUAAAUACUAAUACCAGAUCGAUAGUGCACAAGUACCGUGAGGGAAAGGUGAAAAGAACUGAGGUGAUCAGAGUGAAAUAGAACCUGAAACCAUUUGCUUACAAUCAUUCAGAGCCCUAUGUAGCAAUACAGGGUGAUGGACUGCCUUUUGCAUAAUGAGCCUGCGAGUUGUGGUGUCUGGCAAGGUUAAGCAAACGCGAAGCCGUAGCGAAAGCGAGUCUGAAUAGGGCGCUUAGUCAGAUGCUGCAGACCCGAAACGAAGUGAUCUAUCCAUGAGCAAGUUGAAGCUAGUGUAAGAACUAGUGGAGGACUGAACCCAUAGGCGUUGAAAAGCCCCGGGAUGACUUGUG
rnacentral:rRNA from 1 species